rnacentral:rRNA from 1 species
GGUUUUCUGGUAAUAUAUAGAAAAUCGAACCUGCCCACUGAUAUAAAUUUAAGGGCUGCAGUAUAUUGACUGUACAAAGGUAGCAUAAUCAUUAGUUUUUUAAUUGAAGACUGGAAUGAAAGGUUUGACAUGCUUGGACUGUCUCUAAUUUAUUGGAUGAAUUUAUUUAUUUGUGAAAAAACAAAAAUAAACUAAAGGGACAAGAAGACCCUAUCAAACUUAGUUUGGACAAAGAUAUUUUUAUAGUAAUAAAAGUAAUAUUUAGGUUAAAGUUUACUGGGGCGGUGAGUGUUAACCUACAUUAUGAUAUAACAGAUUAAAUGGAGAGUAUAAGGAUCCAGUAGGCUGAGAUUAAGAAAUAGUUACUGUAGGGAUAACAGCGUAAUAUUUUUUGAGAGUUCAUAUUGACAAAAGUGUUUGCGACCUCGAUGUUGGAUUAAGGAUCCUAUUUGAUGCAGCUGUCAAUUGAGGUCGUCUGUUCGACUAUUAAAUUCUU